GUUAUCUUUUCUGUUUAACGGCCUGCCCACCCUGGAAAUGGCUCAGCCGGAGGUAGGGUCCAGCGGCCGAAAGAGCACCGCACGUCGCGUGGUGUCCGGUGCACCCCCGGCGGCCCUUGAAAAUCUAGAGGACCGAGUGCCGUCCGCGCCCGGUCUUACUCAUAACCGCAUCAGGUCUCCAAGGUGAACAGCCUCUGGUCA
rnacentral:ncRNA from 1 species